rnacentral:rRNA from 1 species
GACGAACGCUGGCGGCGUGCUUAACACAUGCAAGUCGAACGGAAAGGCCCUGCUUUUGUGGGGUGCUCGAGUGGCGAACGGGUGAGUAACACGUGAGUAACCUGCCCUUGACUUUGGGAUAACUUCAGGAAACUGGGGCUAAUCCCGGAUAGGAGCUCCUGCUGCAUGGUGGGGGUUGGAAAGUUUCGGCGGUUGGGGAUGGACUCGCGGCUUAUCAGCUUGGUGGUGGGGUAGUGGCUUACCAAGGCUUUGACGGGUAGCCGUCCUGAGAGGGUGACCUGACACAUUGGGACUGAGAUACGGCCCAGACUCCUACGGGAGGCAGCAGUGGGGAAUAUUGCACAAUGGGCGGAAGCCUGAUGCAGCAACGCCGCGUGCGGGAUGACGGCCUUCGGGUUGUAAACCGCUUUCGCCUGUGACGAAGCGUGAGUGACGGUAAUGGGUAAAGAAGCACCGGCUAACUACGUG